AGAAAUUCGUGGGUGACUUUUUAUUUUUAUUUAAUAAAAUAAUAAAAUAUUAUUUAUAUUAAUAAAAUAUAAUAAAACAAAUACUAUUAAUAUUUGAACUGAUAUUAAAUAUUAGCCAAUGUGCUUCGAGGUGAGUUCAUGCACGGCGGUGUCGUUCUCGACUGUUGCCUCCACGAUGAUUCUUCCGCGUAUAGUGUCGGUGCCGACAAUACAGUGAGACGGCUUGUUUUUAACUACAAUAAGGGGGCAUUCUAGGUCGACAUGAUGCACCUGUAAUUCAGUCGGACUCGGAGCAUCUUCGUUCCUCUUCGUCACCAACGCCACCAACGCCACCAAUGCCACCAACGAUCGUGAUUUCUACCAAACAAUCGUCGCAAGAGACACACCUGACGCUUCUACCGGCUAUUUCCAAUGCCGCUAGGACAUAAAUGCUACUGUAUGCCAAGAAUGCGUCAAAAACGCUUCUACAGAGGCACUUAAGCGGUGCCCACUAGAAAAGGGAGCCAUAAUCUGGUUCGACGAGUGCUGGGUCUCGUGCCCGCGUUACCGUUGUCUAAUGUGCAGAAUGUGACGGAAGCGGAGCGCUUCAACCAAUUGUUGGGGGGUCUUCUGAAUAAAGUGGCGGACCAAGCCGUUAGUUCCGAGUCGACUAAGAAGUACGCGACGGAGGAAGAGAACUUCACGAGUUCCCAGACUUUGUACAGCUUAGCACAAUGCUCAUCAGAUGCACCCACCUCUUUUUGCAACAUGUGUUUGCUUAGCGCCAUUGGUUUCAUACCAGGGUGCUGUGGUGGCAGACGAGGUGGGGCUGUUUACUUGCCCAACUGCAUCAUUAGAUUCGAGCUCUACCCCUUUUACUAUUCAAUUUCUGCCACUCCAAUUCCACCACUAGAUAGUCAUUUUUAAUUUAUUUGGUAAUACGUUUUGUUAUCUUAAAAACUAAAAGAAAUACUAACAAAAUCCAUAAGAUUAUAUAUUGUCCAGCAGCAAAAGAAAAAGAAAAAGCUUAAACAAUUACAAUUAUUGCUAUUGUUCUCCCAAUUAGUGUGGCUAUUGUGGCCUUCUUGAUUGGCUUUUUCUACCUCCGUAAUAGGAAAACCACGAAGAUAAAGAAAUACCUCUCUGUUCGGCAAGACAGUGUUCGGGAAGAAAUUUCAGAAAGCGACACUUUUCAAUUUUCUUUGGAGGAAAUUAAGACUGCCACUAAUAACUUCUUGGAUGAAAAUAAGAUAGGAAGAGGUGGAUUUGGUGCAGUUUACAAG